rnacentral:tRNA from 1 species
ACCUUCGUAGUAUAACGGUAGCACACUCGUCCCGUAUUCCAGAGGUCUAGGUUCGAGUCCCGGCGAGGGCA